rnacentral:pre_miRNA from 1 species
CAACUACUUCCUCUGUCCCAAAUUUCUUGUCUUAGAUUUGUCUAGAUAUGGAUGUAUCUAAUACUAAAAUGUGACUUGAUACAUCUGUAUCUAGACAAAUCUAAGACAAGAAUUUAGGGACGGAGGGAGUACUUU